CAAUGUGAGGGCGAUCUGGCUGCGACAUCUGUCCCCCCAUUGAUCACCAGGGUUGAUUGGGCUGAUCUGGCUGGCUAGGCAGGUGUCCCCUUCCUCCCUCACCGCUCCAUCUGCGUGCCUCCCGAAGCUGCGCGCUCGGCCCAGGAGGACGACCUUCCCCGAUAGAGAUGGUACCGUUCAUCGCUCACGGGUGUGCGGGAGCUGCGCGCCCCUCAGAGCUCGAGGGUACCCCAUGCAGAGCUGCAGGCUGGGGUCAGAGUGGCUGAGAGCUGCCAAACAGAGA
rnacentral:snRNA from 1 species